AAGAGAGAGACAUGCGCGCAUAUCAAUAAGCGGAGGAAAAGAAGCUAACAAGGAUUCCCUUAGUAACGGCGAGUGAAGCGGGAAGAGCUCAAAUUUGAAAUCUUCAAGGUUCUACCUUGACGAAUUGUAGUUUAUAGAAGUGUUUUCUGUUAGUGGAGUGGCAAAAGUUCUUUGGAAUAGGACAUCAUAGAGGGUGAGAAUCCCGUAUUUGGUCAUUCCUCCUAGCGUUGUGAUACACUUUCAACGAGUCGGAUUGUUUGGGAAUGCAGUCCAAAAUGGGUGGUAAAUUUCAUCUAAAGCUAAAUAUUGGCGAGAGACCGAUAGCGAACAAGUACCGUGAGGGAAAGAUGAAAAGAACUUUGAAAAGAGAGUUAAACAGUACGUGAAAUUGUCAAAAGGGAAGCGUUUGACACCAGUGUUGUUUUUCCGAAAAUCAAUUACGAAUGUUUUAUUUUUAGAGAGUUAUGACUUCAUCGGCUUGCUUCUUUCUUUACGAAACUUUCUUAAUGCACUUUUCGGUUAACAAGUCAACAUCAAUUUCUUUUGUUGUAAAAGGGUAUGAGGAAGGUGGCUUUCCUUUUCGGAGAAAGUGUUUAUAGCCUUGUGCCUCUGCAAUCGGAGAGAUUGAGGUCUGCAGCGUAGAUCCUUCGGGGUUAGAUACGUUUGUGCUAAGUUAUAGCUUUUCAUAGACAACUUGUUGACUAUGUUUAGUCUUGUAGCUUACUCGCUGACGCUAUUUUACCUACGCUUAGGAUGUUGAUAGUCACAGCGUGUAC
rnacentral:rRNA from 1 species